AACUUUCGACAACGGAUCACUUGGUUCUGGCAUCGAUGAAGAACGCAGCGAAAUGCGAUAAGUAAUGUGAAAUGCAGAAUUCAGUGAAUCAUCGAAUCUUUGAACGCACAUGGCGCCCCUUGGUAUUCCGGGGGGCAUGCCUGUUCGAGCGUCAUUACAACCCUCAAGCUCUGCUUGGUCUUGGGCGUCACCGGUCCCGGUGUGCCUUAAAAUCAGUGGCGGCGCCAUCUGGCUCUAAGCGUAGUACAUACUCUCGCUACAGACGUCCGGUGGAUGCUGGCCAGCAACCCCCAACUUAUCAAGGUUGACCUCGGAUCAGGUAGGGAUACCCGCUGAACUUAAGCAUAUCAAUAAGCGGAGGCU
rnacentral:misc_RNA from 1 species